rnacentral:misc_RNA from 1 species
GCCGGGGCGGCAGGAGAUGAUGGAGCAGCGGCUGCGCCGAGGACUUAGUGUUGCCGCGGGCAGGUCCAGGGGCAGUGGGCUCGUCACUGUGGUCGCCUGUGUUGGGACGACAGGAGAGGCUGGAGCAGCGCUGCAGCGGGGUCGUGGCGAGCAGUGGCGUCGUCGAGGGCUUGGCAUCGCUGCGGGCUCAUUCGUCACCUUCCCGUGCUCAUUUGCAAGAAUGGUCUGUAUAGAAUUACUCAGAGCACCGAAGGAGACACCUAGUGGUGUAGUUGCAUCGGCUGUUGUUUGGUUAGUCUGGCAUCCACUGAUCAGAAUGCCAUUAUUUGGCGCCCAA